GACGAACGCUGGCGGCGUGCCUAAUACAUGCAAGUCGAACGCAGUGGGGACGGGUGAGUACACGUGGGUAACCUCUCACCAGAGGGGCUAACACUUGGAAACAGGUGCUAAACCGAGACUGAUGGAUGAACCCGCGGUGCAUUAGCUAGUGGGUGAGGUAACGGCUCACCAAGGACACGAUGCAUAGCCGGCCGGAGAGGGUGAUCGGCCACACCGGGACUGAGACACGGCCCAGACUCCUGCGGGAGGCAGCAGUAGGGAAUAUUCGGCAAUAGGCGAAAGUCUGACCGGGCAACGCCGCGUGAGUGAAGAAGGUCUUCGGAUCGUAAAACUAUGUUGUUAGAGAAGCGGUAUCUAACCAGAAAGCCACGGCUAACUCCGUGCCAGCAGCCGCGGUAAUAC
rnacentral:rRNA from 1 species